rnacentral:rRNA from 1 species
UGCUAUACUGCAGUCGAGCGGACCGACGGGAGCUUGCUCCCUUAGGUCAGCGGCGGACGGGUGAGUAACACGUGGGUAACCUGCCUGUAAGACUGGGAUAACUCCGGGAAACCGGGGCUAAUACCGGAUGCUUGAUUGAACCGCAUGGUUCAAUUCUAAAAGGGGGCUUUUAACUACCACUUACAGAUGGACCCGCGGCGCAUUAACUAAUUGGUGAAGUAACGGCUCCCCAAGGCGACCAAGCCUAACCCAACUGAAAAGGUGAUCGGCCCCCCUGGGACUGAAACCCCGCCCAAACUCCUACGGGAAGCAGCAAUAAGGAAUCUUCCGCAAUGGACGAAAGUCUGACGGAACAACCCCCCCUGAAUGAUGAAGGUUUUCCGAACCUAAAACUCUGGUGUUAAGGAAGAACAAGUACCGUUCCAAUAAGGCGGUACCUUGACGGUACCUAACCAGAAAGCCACGGCUAACUACGUGCCAGCAGCCGCGGUAAUACCUAGGUGGCAAGCGUUGGCCGGAAUUAUUGGGCGUAAAGCGCGCGCAGGCGGUUUCUUAAGUCUGAAGUGAAAACCCCCGGCUCACCGGGGAAGGCAUUGGAAACUGGGGAACUUGAAUGCAAAAAGAAAUGGAAUUCCCCUG